rnacentral:tRNA from 1 species
GAAGUAAUAAUUUAAAAAAAAUAUUAGCUUGUCAAGCCAAAAAUGCUCUUAAGAGUUUACUUUU